rnacentral:rRNA from 1 species
GUGCCAGCCGCUGCGGUAAUACGUAGGGGACAAGCGUUGUCCGGAAUGACUGGGCGUAAAGGGCGCGUAGGCGGUCUAUUAAGUCUGAUGUGAAAGGUACCGGCUCAACCGGUGAAGUGCAUUGGAAACUGGUAGACUUGAGUAUUGGAGAGGCAAGUGGAAUUCCUAGUGUAGCGGUGAAAUGCGUAGAUAUUAGGAGGAACACCAGUGGCGAAGGCGGCUUGCUGGACAAAUACUGACGCUGAGGUGCGAAAGCGUGGGAGCGAACAGGAUUAGAUACCCUGGUAGUCCACGCCGUAACGAUGAAUGCUAGGUGUUGGGGAACUCAGUG